UACGUAGGGGGCUAGCGUUGUCCGGAAUCAUUGGGCGUAAAGAGCGUGUAGGCGGCCCGGUAAGUCCGCUGUGAAAGUCGGGGGCUCAACCCUCGAAUGCCGGUGGAUACUGUCGGGCUAGAGUGCGGAAGAGGCGAGUGGAAUUCCUGGUGUAGCGGUGAAAUGCGCAGAUAUCAGGAAGAACAUCGGUGGCGAAAGCGCUCUGCUGGACUGCAACUGACACUCAGGGACGAAAGCUAGGGGAGCGAAUGGG
rnacentral:rRNA from 1 species